AGUGAACGCUGGCGGUAGGCCUAACACAUGCAAGUCGAACGGCAGCACAGUAAGAGCUUGCUCUUACGGGUGGCGAGUGGCGGACGGGUGAGGAAUACAUCGGAAUCUACUUUUUCGUGGGGGAUAACGUAGGGAAACUUACGCUAAUACCGCAUACGACCUACGGGUGAAAGCAGGGGAUCUUCGGACCUUGCGCGAUUGAAUGAGCCGAUGUCGGAUUAGCUAGUUGGCGGGGUAAAGGCCCACCAAGGCGACGAUCCGUAGCUGGUCUGAGAGGAUGAUCAGCCACACUGGAACUGAGACACGGGCCAGACUCCUACGGGAGGCAGCAGUGGGGAAUAUUGGACAAUGGGCGCAAGCCUGAUCCAGCCAUGCCGCGUGAGUGAAGAAGGCCUUCGGGUUGUAAAGCUCUUUUGUUGGGAAAGAAAAGCAACAGGCUAAUACCCCGCGGGUCUGACGGUACCCGAAGAAUAAGCACCGGCUAACUUCGUG
rnacentral:rRNA from 1 species